CGAUACCAACUUGUGACGCCCCCGAUUCAAUAGUAACUAAUCAUACAUGCAAAUGUGUAUGAUCAAGAUCAGGGACUUACAGGAAGAUAUCACAACACAACUCUAGACAAAAAUUAAAAUAAAACAAGCUUUAUAUUACAAGCCAGGGGCCUCGAGGGCUCGAAUACAAACGAGUCAGCGGAAGCAACAUUAUCUGAGUGCAGACAUGAGUUCAACAAGUUUGCCCUAAGAAGGCUAGCACAAAAGUAUCAACGCUCGAAAAGGCAAGGCCUCCUGCCCGGGAGCCUCCUCAACUACUCCUAGUCAUUGCCGGUCACCAUGUAGUAGUAGUCUCCGUCGGGGUAGUAGUAGUCGUCGGCAGUACCAUCUGGCUCCUGGGCUCAACCAUCUAGUUGCAGCAUCUGAGAAGAAUGAAAAGAGGUGGAAAAAGGGAAGCAAAGCAACCGUGAGUACUCAUCCAAAGUACUCGCAAGCAAGGAUCUACACUACAUAUGCAUCGGUAUCAAAGAAAUGGGUAGUAGCUGUGGACUAAAUUGCAGAAUGCCAGAAUAGAGGGGAAAGCCUUUCCUAUCAAAGACUAGCAUCUUCAAGAAGCUCCAAGCAUCUUGGAACAUUUAGAAGAGUAUAGAAAAGUAGUUUAUAUUUAGCAAACAUGUUGUAGCAUUAGCGCCCAGAGAUCCUUUCUUGACUCCCUACAAAAAAGCAAUCCCGGAGCCAUCAUAUCCAUUUCUAAUGCCUCAGCAUCCAGUUCUAGUUGUAUCGAUUGGGGUACAACUCUGAGCGUCCGUUACCGUGGACACGACUAUUCGAAUAGAUAGAAUACUUUCCUGUAGGGGUGCACAAACUUACCCAACAUGCUCGAUCAACUCCAGCCGGACGCACCAUCAGGUCAUGACCGGCCUUGGCCGAUCAACACGCCGCAACCCUACCUAGUCUCACCAGAGAGGCCAGCACGCCGGUCUACAUCCUAAGCGUGCUGGGGUCUUAGGCCCGUUGCCCUUUGCACUCCUGCAUGUUGCGAACGCAGCCGGUGAGCAGACCUAGCUACAUCCUUAAAUAAGGCAGGUGCUUACACAGUCUAACCCAGCGCGCGCCGCUCCAUCGCUGACGUUCUUGAGCUUUCGGCUAAUACAUACGAUGUAGAGUGCCCGUACUUAUUCCCACGUGGUGGUUAGUGUGAAAAGGCCAGAGGCCUACUCGAAUCAAAUAUCCAAUCCGUUAGUCUCUUGGUAGUGCGUGGUAACAAGCAUAGACUCAUGAUCAUGUGACCCCGUUGCCCCGCCUCAUGGACUUACAGCAAGGGCUAGGAAUGCCCGGCCGUGCCACAUAAUUAUCUCUCGGUUACCCUCCAGGUCAAACCAACUUCUCAUCACUCACGGGUAUCCCUCGGGGUCGACCCGGUGUCAUCAUGGUUAUGUGGUAAGUCAAAGUAACCCUGUUUCCCAAACAGCAAGGGGGAAACUCGAGGAAUCACCCUCAAUGGAUUCCCACUCGAUGUAACUAUCAAGGUGGACUUGAAGGAAUCACCCUCGGUGGUCCACACUUGAGGGGUUGCACGACAGAGUCGUUAUCGAGAGUGGUGAAGGAGGAAUCACCCUCGAGAGUGGUGAAGGAGGAAUCACCCUCGAUGAUCACGACCGAAUAGCUACACUAUAGGGUUAACAUCAGAAGUGCUGACGAGGGAUCACCCUCGGCACUCAAUAGUAACUUUAUAGUCGUAGAACUAAGGGGAUGAUGUGCGGUGUCGGGCCUAGGUAUCGACCACGUUGAUUGAGUCAUCAAACAUAAAGCGGGGCAACUAGGACAAGGUGGGGGUCACUGAUGGAUCUCUAACCAACCUAUACUAAACAGUUUAGGAUAAGCAGGUAAGGUAUGAAAGCAGGGAACAAAAACAGGCUAUGCAUCAGAAUAUCAGCAACCAAGUACAGUAACAAAAUCUAAUGCAAGCAUGAGAGAGAAUGAAAUGGGCGAUAUCAGAAUGAUCAAUGGGGGUUUGCUUUUCUGGUUGCUCUGGCAAGGAGGGGUUAUCAUCAAUGUAGUCGAUCACGGGGAUCGCCGGCAGUCUCGGGGUCUAUUGGAAAGAAGUAACGAAGGGGGAACACAAUAACUAACAGAGCAAUCAAAUCAUCACAAAGCAUAACAUGGUAGUACACGGUGCUAGGGGUGACCUAACGCAGUACUAGGUGUUACCAGCGAAGGGGGAAAACAACCAAGAACGUAGUUCCAGUGUUUGGCCUUUUUGGACAUGUGAAGUGAAGGGGGCAGUUGUAGGUUCACUAUGCUAGGGACGCGUGACGAAUGAACAGACUACGUAUUCGGAUUCAUCUCGAAAUUCUGAGCAACUUUCAUGUACAAAGUAUUUUCAUCGAUGAUACGAUUUAUUUUAUAUUGAUUUCUCAAAGUUUUAAACAUUUUCUGCAAUUACUGGAUUUAAAUUUAAUUCAAAAUUAAAAGGAUACAAUGCUAUGGGUACUCAGCGAGCGUACCCAACAGUGCACGUGUGUGGCCGACAGUGGGGCCCGGCUGCUGAGUCAGCAGCUGACCGCUCAACCCUUAUCCACUGGAAUAGUGGAGGGUGGCCCUACCUGUUAUAGGCAGCUGGCUUAAACUGAGGGUUAUAUUAAAAGGAGAUUGAUUAAAGGUGUGGGGCCCAUGUGUCAGGGGCAUAUUAACUUAACAAGGGGUUAGUUUUGUUAGGUAAUUAGGGAGAGGGGCCAAGUAGUCAGUGCGUGAUUAGGGGGAUGUUAGCGGCUAAUGGCGCCAUGUCAGCGCCGUUUAACGGCGACAAGGCCGGGCGCUGGUGAUAGCCGUGCGCUCACCUCCGAUGGUCAUUCGGGACGGGGAUUCGACCUGCGUGACGCGCGCGUCAAGCCGCAUUCGACGGUGGUGGAAACCAGGAUGGGGACGGCGGCAGUCGGUGUCAACAUCGAGCAGGGCGAAGGAGGACGGGGCCGCGAGCGGAGGGGGCCAAGGGCAUGUGCAGGCGACAGAGGAGGAGCGCGAGCGGCAGUGGGCGUGGCCAGGGGCUCACGGGCGCAGUAACCGGCACGGUCGGUCAUGGCCAGAGGCCCACGAGCGCGACCAGGGGGGCACGCUGUCGGGGCGAGGCGCACACGCACGGGAGUAGGGCUCCGGCCGUGGCUAGAGGGGGGACGCGGGCGGCACAAAUGGAGACGAAAACAGGGGGAGGACAGAAAGGCGGCCUCACAUAUGUUUGUAAGGGGGGCAGCGGGCUCGGGGACGACGUGACGAUGGCGAAUUUGACGACCGCGACCGGUGGCUGCUGCGGAGGAAGAAGGUCCAAUGUCGAUGUGGCAGUGCGGCUCUGGUCGAACGAGUCCUCGUAGAUGAUGCAGACGAUGAUGGUGGUCCUCUAGGGCCUCAACUCGCGGCUCGGGGAGGCUGUUGGCUAUGGCUGCAGCGUGCGACGGCCGAAGGUGGAGGAGAUCGGUGGCGUCGAAGGGAUGGCUUCCCGGGAUCGAUUUGGUGGCGCAGUCGAAGCAGCGGACCGCGGCAGUGCUGCAGGGUAGGUCGGAGAUACUUGGGGGAGGCGGUGGUCGCGGCUACACGGCGGCCAUGGCCACGAUGGCGUUCGGCGAGGAGGGAGGGUGAGCGGCGAUCUGGAGAGCGAGGGGGAGGCGGAGAGGGAGAGCUGGGUGGAGUGGGCGAGUGGGGAGGGAGCCCGAGGCGUCGGGGCUGCCCUUAUCCUCUCGCUGGCAACGUGGC
rnacentral:lncRNA from 1 species